GUGAUUGAUGAACGCGUAGCGCUGAUGGUUCGCCACCACGGCAUUUUGUGAAAUCGCAAGCAUGGGCAAAGACGAUAAAGCUGUGGACAAGAACAUGAUUGUCAGGUCUCGCUAUCUUGGUUCUCAGUUUUUGAGCCCCUCAAUGGCAGAAGACUUGCUGGAGCACUUUAAGGAGGGCACCAAGGAACUUAAUUUAAGGAACAUGCUUUCUGUGUCAAUGGAUGGACCCACAGUAAAUUGGAAAGUCAUGGAUCUCCUACAACUGGAACAUGCAAUAAAUUUCUGAUCCUGAUCUUUCCUA